rnacentral:tRNA from 2 species
UGGGGCGUCGACAAGCGGUAAGUCACGAGAUUUUGGAUCUCGCAUUCCCAGGUUCGAAUCCUGGCGCCCCAGCCA